rnacentral:sRNA from 1 species
AAUAAGCCUACACAGUAAUAAGGCCGACAGAUUAAACAUGGUGUCGGGAUGAAUGGUUUAUUUUAUUGGUGUGAUAGCUAUGAAUAAUCAACGUACCCUCAAAUACUGGUCAUGGUUCGGCGCUUUUUCUGUCUCAGCGCUCUUCUGGAGCCAGAUGGUCUGGAUAUGCCUUCGCUAAUCCCCAUAAUGCCCGGCUCGGCCGGGCAUUUUGCUUUUU